CUACGGGUCGCUCCAGUGGGGAAUAUUGCACAAUGGGCGCAAGCCUGAUGCAGCCAUGCCGCGUGUAUGAAGAAGGCCUUCGGGUUGUAAAGUACUUUCAGCGGGGAGGAAGGGAGUAAAGUUAAUACCUUUGCUCAUUGACGUUACCCGCAGAAGAAGCACCGGCGAACUCCGUGCCAGCAGCCGCGGUAAUACGGAGGGUGCAAGCGUUAAUCGGAAUUACUGGGCGUAAAGCGCACGCAGGCGGUUGGUUAAGUCAGAUGUGAAAUCCCCGGGCUCAACCUGGGAACUGCAUCUGAUACUGGCAAGCUUGAGUCUCGUAGAGGGGGGUAGAAUUCCAGGUGUAGCGGUGAAAUGCGUAGAGAUCUGGAGGAAUACCGGUGGCGAAGGCGGCCCCCUGGACGAAGACUGACGCUCAGGUGCGAAAGCGUGGGGAGCAAACAGGAUUAGAUACCCUCGUAGUC
rnacentral:rRNA from 1 species